rnacentral:rRNA from 1 species
CCUACGGGCGGCUGCAGUCGAGGAUCUUCGGCAAUGGGCGCAAGCCUGACCGAGCGACGCCGCGUGUGGGAUGAAGGCCUUCGGGUUGUAAACCACUGUCAGAGGGGAUGAAAUGCCAUGGGGUUCUCCCCAUGGCUUGACAUAGCCUCAGAGGAAGUGCGGGCUAAGUUCGUGCCAGCAGCCGCGGUAAGACGAACCGCACAAACGUUAUUCGGUAAAGGGUGCGUUAAAGGCGCAGAAGGCGGCGCGGGAAAUCCCUCGGCUCAACCGAGGAAUUGCGACCAAUACUACUGUGCUUGAGGGAGACAGAGGUGAGCGGAACUUAGGGUGGAGCGGUGAAAUGCGUUGAUAUCCUAAGGAACACCGGUGGCGAAAGCGGCUCACUGGGUCUCUUCUGACGCUGAGGCACGAAAGCUAGGGGAGCAAACGGGAUUAGAUACCCCAGUAGUC